GACGAACCGAGCGAACGUUGUUCGGAAUCACUGGGCUUAAAGGGCGCGUAGGCGGACUGCCGCGUCCGGGGUGAAAUCCUCCGGCUCAACCGGGGAAGGGCCUCGGAUACGGGCGGUCUGGAGUGGGUUAGGGGCGUGCGGAACUGUGGGUGGAGCGGUGAAAUGCGUUGAGAUCCACAGGAACUCCGGUGGCGAAGGCGGCACGCUGGACCCUUUCUGACGCUGAGGCGCGAAAGCCAGGGGAGCGAACGGG
rnacentral:rRNA from 1 species